GACGAACGCUGGCGGCGUGCUUAACACAUGCAAGUCGAACGGAAAGGCCCUGCUUUUGUGGGUUGCUCGAGUGGCUAACGUUUGAGUAACACGUGAGUAACCUGCCCUUGACUUUGGGAUAACUUCAGGAAACUGGGGCUAAUACCGGAUAGGAGCUCCUGCUGCAUGGUGGGGGUUGGAAAGUUUCGGCGGUUGGGGAUGGACUCGCGGCUUAUCAGCUUUUUGGUGGGGUCGUUGCUUACCAAGGCUUUGACGGGUAGCCGGCCUGAGAGGGUGACCGGCGACAUUGGGACUGAGAUACGGCCCAGACUACUACGGGAGGCAGCAGUGGGGAAUAUUGCACAAUGGGCGGAAGCCUGAUGCAGCAACGCGGCGGGCGGGAUGACGGCCUUCGGGUUGUAAACCGCUUUCGCCUGUGACGAAGCGUGAGUGACGGUAAUGGGUAAAGAAGCACCGGCUAACUACGUG
rnacentral:rRNA from 1 species